CCCUUAGAGUUUGAUCCUGGCUCAUGAUGAUCGCUGGCGGCGUGCUUAACUCAUGCAAGUCGAACGAACCUUCGGGUUAGUGGCGGACGGGUGAGUAACGCGUGAGAAUCUGCCCUCAGGAGGGGGACAACAGCUGGAAACGGCUGCUAAUACCCCAUAUGCCGCGAGGUGAAAUGAAUUUCGCCUGAGGAUGAGCUCGCGUCUGAUUAGCUAGUUGGUGUAGGUAAUGGCUCACCAAGGCAUCGAUCAGUAGCUGGUCUGAGAGGAUGAUCAGCCACACUGGGACUGAGACACGGCCCAGACUCCUACGGGAGGCAGCAGUGGGGAAUUUUCCGCAAUGGGCGAAAGCCUGACGGAGCAACGCCGCGUGAGGGAUGAAGGCCUCUGGGCUGAAACCUCUUUUAUCAAGGAAGAAGAUCUGACGGUACUUGAUGAAAAGCCACGGCUAAUUCCGUGCCAGCAGCCGCGGAAUACGGGAGUGGCAGCGUUAUCC
rnacentral:rRNA from 1 species